rnacentral:rRNA from 2 species
UAACAACUCUCAGCAACGGAUAUCUCGGCUCUUGCAUCGAUGAAGAACGCAGCGAAAUGCGAUAAAUGGUGUGAAUUGCAGAAUCCCGUGAACCAUCGAGUCUUUGAACGCAAGUUGCGCCCGAGGCCAUCAGGCCAAGGGCACGCCUGCCUGGGCAUUACGA